rnacentral:rRNA from 1 species
CCUACGGGAGGCAGCAGUGGGGAAUAUUGCACACUGGGGGAAACCCUGAUGCAGCAACGCCGCGUGGGUGAAGAAGUAUUUCUGUAUGUAAAGCCCUAUCAGCCGGGCAGAGAAUGACGGUACCUGACUAAGAAGCCCCGGCUAACUACGUGCCAGCAGCCGCGGUAAUACGUAGGGGGCAAGCGUUAUCCGGAUUUACUGGGUGUAAAGGGAGCGUACACGGUUGUGCAAGUCUGAAGUUAAAGCCCGCGGCUCAACUGCGGAACGGCUUUGGAAACUGUGUAACUGGAGUGCUGGAGAGGUAAGCGGAAUUCCUGGUGUAGCGGUGAAAUGCGUAGAUAUACGGAGGAACACCAGUGGCGAAGGCGGAUUGCUGGACAGUAACUGACGCUGAGGCGCGAAAGCGUGGGGAGCAAACAGGAUUAGAUACCCCUGUAGUC